rnacentral:rRNA from 1 species
CCUACGGGGGGCAGCAGUGGGGAAUAUUGGACAAUGGGGGGAACCCUGAUCCAGCCAUGCCGCGUGUGUGAAGAAGGCCCUCGGGUUGUAAAGCACUUUCAGUGAUGAAGAACGCCUGGUGGUUAAUACCCAUCAGGAAAGACAUCACUCACAGAAGAAGCCCCGGCUAACUCCGUGCCAGCAGCCGCGGUAAUACGGAGGGUGCGAGCGUUAAUCGGAAUUACUGGGCGUAAAGCGCGCGUAGGUGGCUUGAUAAGCCGGUUGUGAAAGCCCCGGGCUCAACCUGGGAACGGCAUCCGGAACUGUCAAGCUAGAGUGCAGGAGAGGAAGGUAGAAUUCCCGGUGUAGCGGUGAAAUGCGUAGAGAUCGGGAGGAAUACCAGUGGCGAAGGCGGCCUUCUGGACUGACACUGACACUGAGGUGCGAAAGCGUGGGUAGCAAACAGGAUUAGAUACCCGGGUAGUC